AGAGCGAACGCUGGCGGCAUGCUUAACACAUGCAAGUCGCACGGGCAGGGGAAACCCUGUCAGUGGCGGACGGGUGAGUAACGCGUAGGAAUCUAUCUCUGGGUGGGGGACAACCGUGGGAAACUACGGCUAAUACCGCAUGACACCUGAGGGUCAAAGGCGCAAGUCGCCUGGAGAGGAGCCUGCGUACGAUUAGCUUGUUGGUGGGGUAAAGCCUACAAGGCGACGAUCGUUAGCUGGUCUGAGAGGAUGAUCAGCCACAUUGGGACUGAGACACGGGCCCAAACUCCUACGGGAGGCAGCAGUGGGAAUAUUGGACAAGUGGGCGAAAGGCCUGAUCCAGCAAUGCCGCGUGGGUGAAGAAGGUCUUCGGAUUGUAAAGCCCGUUUGACGGGGACGAUGAUGACGGUACCCGUAGAAGAAGCCCCGGCUAACUUCGUGCCAGCAGCCGC
rnacentral:rRNA from 1 species